rnacentral:rRNA from 1 species
GAUGAACGCUGGCGGCGUGCUUAACACAUGCAAGUCGAACGGAAAGGCCCUGCUUUUGUGGGGUGCUCGAGUGGCGAACGGGUGAGUAACACGUGAGUAACCUGCCCUUGACUUUGGGAUAACUUCAGGAAACUGGGGCUAAUACCGGAUAGGAGCUCCUGCUGCAUGGUGGGGGUUGGAAAGUUUCGGCGGUUGGGGAUGGACUCGCGGCUUAUCAGCUUGUUGGUGGGGUAGUGGCUUACCAAGGCUUUGACGGGUAGCCGGCCUGAGAGGGUGACCGGCCACAUUGGGACUGAGAUACGGCCCAGACUCCUACGGGAGGCAGCAGUGGGGAAUAUUGCACAAUGGGCGGAAGCCUGAUGCAGCAACGCCGCGUGCGGGAUGAAGGCCUUCGGGUUGUAAACCGCUUUCGCCUGUGACGAAGCGUGAGUGACGGUAAUGGGUAAAGAAGCACCGGCUAACUACGUG